CCCACCCUCAUCCACCAUCCCUAUCCCCAGAUCCUUCCUCCUUUCUCCUCUCUCCGCCACUAACAACCCCACCAUCAUCCAUAGCCACCCAAACUCACCACCAGUCAUACCCACCCACACCCCCCCUAUCCACCAUCCAAAUCUAAAGCCAUCACGGCAUCUGCGUUGGAAGGGGCUGAUCGACUUGAGAGAGGAGAUCGGAGGAGUGUUGGGGCAGAAGGGAGAGAAGGGCAGAGAGAGCCAUCUCGGUGUCUUGGGAGGCAUUCUCCGCAUCAAUCCCAUUACUGCUUCCAUUUUUGUUCCUUGGUGUUCUUUGUUUUCGUUUCUCAGGACUAACCAGUGACGGCGAAGACUGAAUAAAACCGAAAGAGACUGAAAGAUGGCCGGCCUUCCUACGUCGUCGUUUAAGGCAAAUACCGGUAGUGCCGCCGCAGAAGACCCCAAACUCGGUCACACGAAGCAGAUACGGCGCCACGAGGUUGCAAUUGCAGAGCUCAAUGCUCUUUCACCGUCUCGGGCUGUCUAUCAGAAAAAUGGGAACUUGUUUUUCCGUACAACAAUCCAGAAAGCAACAGCAUCUGAACAAAAACAAAUUGAUUUGGCUAAAGCAAGCCUAGGAAAGCUGAAUUCUUCUUGAUAUGACUUGGCUUACGAUGAUGGUAGUCCUACAGCCUUUUAAGGAUCUCAGUGAGUGAACCGCUUAUUGUUGCAGAUUCCUGUUGGUUGGGAGGCCGUGGGGAUUCUUGUCUCACCCAUUUUCUUAUUUCUAAAAUGGGCUUCUACCGUGGACAUAAUUUUGUGAACAAUAAAUGUAGAGACUUUUAGGCAGAAGCAUUAUGUUUCAGAAUUUUGUACAAAUACCUUUUGAAGUAUAAGGGUUAUGAGGUUAUUAAUGUACGUCUCUCCCUCUUGCCCUCCUUGGUUGUCUCCCCAAGCGUUCCGUA